AUCGAGGCUAGAGUCACGCUUUGGUAUCUAUUGCCUCAGUGUGCUAGAGUCCUCGAAGAGCAAAUACUGACCUUAUUCACUGGCUGUGACCUUUGUGGUCUAGUCAGUCACCAGGCUGGUGACACAU